rnacentral:rRNA from 1 species
GAUGAACGCUGGCGGCGUGCCUAAUACAUGCAAGUCGAGCGAACGGACGAGAAGCUUGCUUCUCUGAUGUUAGCGGCGGACGGGUGAGUAACACGUGGAUAACCUACCUAUAAGACUGGGAUAACUUCGGGAAACCGGAUCUAAUACCGGAUAAUAUUUUGAACCGCAUGGUUCAAAAGUGCAAGACGUUCUUGCUGUCACUUAUAGAUGGAUCCGCGCUGCAUUAGCUAGUUGGUAAGGUAACGGCUUACCAAGGCAACGAUGCAUAGCCGACCUGAGAGGAUGAUCGGCCACACUGGAACUGAGACACGGUCCAGACUCCUACGGGAGGCAGCAGUAGGGAAUCUUCCGCAAUGGGCGAAAGCCUGACGGAGCAACGCCGCGUGAGUGAUGAAGGUCUUCGGAUCGUAAAACUCUGUUAUUAGGGAAGAACAUAUGUGUAAGUAACUGUGCACAUCUUGACGGUACCAAAUCAGAAAGCCACGGCUAACUACGUG